rnacentral:rRNA from 1 species
UGGUGAGGUGCUACCAUGCAGUCGAACGCUGAACCGACAGCUUGCUGUUGGUGGAUGAGUGGCGAACGGGUGAGUAACACGUGAGUAACCUGCCCCUGAUUUCGGGAUAAGCCUGGGAAACUGGGUCUAAUACCGGAUAUGACCAAUCCUUGCAUGAGGGUUGGUGGAAAGUUUUUCGAUCGGGGAUGGGCUCGCGGCCUAUCAGCUUGUUGGUGGGGUAAUGGCCUACCAAGGCGACGACGGGUAGCCGGCCUGAGAGGGCGACCGGCCACACUGGGACUGAGACACGGCCCAGACUCCUACGGGAGGCAGCAGUGGGGAAUAUUGCACAAUGGGGGAAACCCUGAUGCAGCGACGCAGCGUGCGGGAUGACGGCCUUCGGGUUGUAAACCGCUUUCAGCAGGGAAGAAGCGAAAGUGACGGUACCUGCAGAAGAAGUACCGGCUAACUACGUGCCAGCAGCCGCGGUAAUACUUACGGUACGAGCGUUGUCCGGAAUUAUUGGGCGUAAAGAGCUCGUAGGUGGUUGGUCACGUCUGCUGUGGAAACGCAACGCUUAACGUUGCGCGUGCAGUGGGUACGGGCUGACUAGAGUGCAGUAGGGGAGUCUGGAAUUCCUGGUGUAGCGGUGAAAUGCGCAGAUAUCACGAGGAACACCGGUGGCGAAGGCGGGACUCUGGGCUGUAACUGACACUGAGGAGCGAAAGCAUGGGGAGCGAACAGGAUUACAUACCCUGGUAGUCCAUGCCGUAACGUUGGGCACUAGGUGUGGGGGACAUUCCACUGUUCUCCGCGCCGUAGCUAACGCAUUAAGUGCCCCGCCUGGGGAGUACGGUCGCAAGGCUAAAACUCAAAGGGAAUUGACGGGGGCUCCGCACAAGCUGGCGGGAGCAUGCGGAUUAAUUGCUGAUGCAACGCGAAGAACCUUUACCAAAGGCUUGACAUACACUAGCACCGCUUCUGAGAAAGCACGUUCUACUCUUCUAGGAGCUGGGAUGUACAGGCUGCUGCAUGCGUUGUACGUCAGCUGCGUGCUCGUGCAGAUCGUUGGGCUCAAGUCCGGGCAGACUGAGCGCAAUCACUCGUUCUAUCGAUGGCCAGCACGUUGGAUCGAUGGCUAGCCUCAUACGAGACUGUCUGGGAUCUCACAUCGAGCAUGCGUGGGAUGACGUCAGUCAGUCAUGCUUUACAGUUACGUGGCCUAACGCGCCAUAGCCGUAGCCAUG